rnacentral:rRNA from 1 species
GGGUCAGUAGGUUGGUCGUGCCACCGGUACGUACUGGUCUCACCGAUUCCUCCUUCCUGAAGAAUCGUAAUGCCAUUAAUUUGGCGUUGCGGGGAAACAGGACUGUUACUUUGAAAAAAUUAGAGUGUUUAAAGCAAGCUAACGCUUGAAUACAUUAGCAUGGAAUAAUGAAAUAGGACGAUCGAUCCUAUUUUGUUGGUUUCUAGGAUUGACGUA